UUAAAAAUAAGCUAAACAUUAAGCUUUUGGGCUCAUACCUCAACAAUAUAGGAUAAACCUUUUUUUUAAA
rnacentral:tRNA from 1 species